rnacentral:rRNA from 1 species
UACGAAGGGGGCUAGCGUUGUUCGGAAUCACUGGGCGUAAAGCGCACGCAGGCGGCUCGAUAAAUUAGAAGUGAAAGCCCCGGGCUUAACCUGGGAAUUGCUUUUAAGACUGUCGGGCUAGAAUCCAGAAGAGGGUAGUGGAAUUCCGAGUGUAGAGGUGAAAUUCGUAGAUAUUCGGAAGAACACCAGUGGCGAAGGCGACUACCUGGUCUGGCAUUGACGCUCAUAUGCGAAAGCGUGGGGAGCAAACAGG